rnacentral:rRNA from 1 species
GGAUGAACGUUGGCGGCGUGCCUAAUACAUGCAAGUCGAACGAAGACUGUAGUAAUACUGUCUUAGUGGCGAACGGGUGAGUAACGCGUGGGUGACCUGCCCCGAAGUGUGGGAUAACAGUCCGAAAGGAUUGCUAAUACUGCAUAAUAUCCAAGAGAUUAGAUGCUUUUGGAUUAAAGGAGUAAUUCGCUUCGGGAGGGGCCCGCGUCCCAUCAGCUAGUUGGUAAGGUAAUGGCUUACCAAGGCGAUGACGGGUAGGGGACCUGAGAGGGUGGCCCCCCACAAUGGAACUGAAACACGGUCCAUACACCUACGGGUGGCAGCAGUAGGGAAUAUUAGUAAUGGGCGAAAGCCUGAACUAGCAACGCCGCGUGUGCGAAGAAGGCCUUCGGGUCGUAAAGCACUUUUUGAGAGGAUGAGGAAGGACGGUACUCUCAGAAUAAGUCUCGGCUAACUACGUGCCAGCAGCCGCGGUAAGACGAACCAAGCGAACGUUAUUCGGAAUUACUGGGCUUAAAGCGCGUGUAGGCGGAUGACCACGUCAGUCGUUGAAAUCCCCCGGCUCAACCGGGGAACAGGCGCUGAUACGAGUUGUCUGGAGGUGGGUAGGGGAGACUGGAACUUCCGGUGGAGCGGUGAAAUGCGUUGAGAUCGGAAGGAACGCCCGCGGCGAAAGCGAGUCUCUGGACCCAUUCUGACGCUGAGACGCGAAAGCCAGGGGAGUAAACGGGAUUAGAUACCCCGGUAGUCCUGGCUGUAAACAUUGGGCACUGGGUAGUGGAACCGCCGAUGGUUUCACUGCCGCAGGGAAACCGUGAAGUGCCCCGCCUGGGGAGUACGGCCGCAAGGCUAAAACUCAAAGGAAUUGACGGGGGCCCGCACAAGCAGUGGAGCGUGUGGUUUAAUUCGAGGCAACGCGCAGAACCUUACCAGGGUUUGACAUCAUACCGACGUCUGUAGAAACACAGAUUUCCGCUUAGGCGGACGGUAUGACAGGUGUUGCAUGGUUGUCGUCAGCUCGUGUCGUGAGAUGUUGGGUUAAGUCCCGCAACGAGCGCAACCCCUAUCCAAUGUUGCCAACAGGUAAAGCUGGGGACUCAUUGGAGACUGCCGGAGACGAUCUGGAGGAAGGUGGGGAUGAGGUCAAAUCAUCAUGGCCCUUAAGCCCUGGGCUACACACGCGCUACAAUGGCCGGUACAACGGGCAGCGAAGGAGCGAUCCGGAGCGAAUCCCAAAAAGCCGGCCCCAGUUGGAAUCGCAGGCUGCAACUCGCCUGCGUGAACAUGGAAUUGCUAGUAAUCGCGAAUCAGCUACGUCGCGGUGAAUACGUUCCCGGGCCU